GACGAACGCUGGCGGCGUGCUUAACACAUGCAAGUCGAACGCUGAAGACCUGGCUUUUGUUGGGUUGGAUGAGUGGCGAACGGGUGAGUAACACGUGAGUAACCUGCCCUCUUCUUUGGGAUAACGCCCGGAAACGGGUGCUAAUACUGGAUAUUCACUGAUCUUCGCAUGGGGGUUGGUGGAAAGGUUUUUUCUGGUGGGGGAUGGGCUCGCGCCCUAUCAGCUUGUUGGUGGGGUGAUGGCCUACCAAGGCUUUGACGGGUAGCCGGCCUGAGAGGGUGACCGGUCAAAUUAGGAAUGAGAUACGGCCCAGACUCAUACGGGAGGCAGGAGUGGGGAAUAAUGCACAAUGGGCGAAAGCCUGAUGCAGCGACGCCGCGUGAGGGAUGGAGGCUUUUGGGUUGUAAACCUCUUUCGCUAAUGGUCAAGCCGCAACUGUGGGUUGUGGUGAGGGUAGUGGGUAAAGAAGCGCCGGCUAACUACGUG
rnacentral:rRNA from 1 species